GUUCACAUGCUUUUGCCACCUAAACCUUAAAUUAGCUCAGAACACAAUAAAACUACCUGGAUACAACCUUCAACAUUUCCAGAUCAUUAUUUUAGAAAAGGAACAGUUUCUGCAUUCUCUAGUGGAAUAUCCCAGUAAAUGUAAUUGAUGGCUGGGAAGGGGGAGAUCAUCUGCAUACAGCAAAUGCAUCCCUCAACUCAAGAGGGAAUUGAGG